GUAGGUGGCAAGCGUUGUCCGGGAAUUAUUGGGGCGUAAAGCGCGCGCAGGCGGUUCUUUAAGUCUGAUGUGAAAGCCCACGGGCUCAACCGUGGAGGGUCAUUGGAAACUGGAGAACUUGAGUACAGAAGAGGAAAGCGGAAUUCCACGUGUAGCGGUGAAAUGCGUAGAGAUGUGGAGGAACACCAGUGGCGAAGGCGGCUUUCUGGUCUGUAACUGACGCUGAGGCGCGAAAGCGUGGGGAGCAAACAGGAUUAGAUACCCUGGUAGUCCACGCCGUAAACGAUGAGUGCUAAGUGUUAGGGGGUUUCCGCCACUUAGUGCUGCAGCUAACGCAUUAAGCACUCCGCCUGGGGAGUACGGCCGCAAAGGCUG
rnacentral:rRNA from 1 species